UGCCUGCAGUGGGAGAGCCCUGAUCCAGCCUUCCUCUCUCUUUCCUCAGUGGUACUUCCGGCUGUGCUUCCAGAAGCGCCUAUGCACUCAGAGUCUGAACAGUUUCCCCCCCCCCCCAUCCUUUUCCUGCAUGCCAGAGUUUGAACUGGAGAAGACUGCAUUCCUCAGCUAACCUUUUUCCCAAACUGUUGCUGGGAGGGUACACACCACGGAGAAAAUCCUGAAAGAGCCAGAGGCCUCGGUUUUUUGUUAUCUCCAUUCAGAUAUUUGUACACAUUGAAAAGACUCUUCUGAGCCUUCUCUUCUCUAGAAGAGCCUUCUCCUCUCUAGUUCAAGCUAAACUGCUAGAAUUGACUUUCCGGAGAACCUCACUUAUUUCAACAUCUUUCAUGAGUGUGUUUUAUUUCUUUUUCAUAUCUAAUAUUGACUAAUCAAUUACAUAUUUAAGUUUAUUUAGAUCUCAGAGGAGAUAGAUUUUUCUCUGUAACUGAUUUUGUUUUCUUUAAUUAAUGGUUUAUAUGUCAAAGGAUUUAAGUUCCUUUUAGAGUGAUUAGGUUAGUGACUAUGGAAUUAACACUAAAGAUUAUGUAAAAUUGUGUUUUCCAUCAAAGUGAACAUUGUAUCAAUAGAUGAAAGACUAAAUCUGGUUUUUGUUUGUUUGUUUGUUUGUUUGUUUGUUUUAAUGAGAAUCCUGUUCUUACUUUAUCCUACACAGGAACUGUAUACUAAUUUAUAACUAUAAAUUAUAAAUUUAUAAAUGUCUCCUUGGGCCUCAUUCAAUGCUGAAUCUGGAAUUUGAACUGAUUCCCAAAAUAACAAAUCCAGAUCAAAAUGCGUAGGAGUAAAUUAUACACAUUAAACUAGAAGAGUGCAAGAAUAGUUCAAGACUUGCAAAGAGAAACUAGGGAAAAGCAUUCUGCUGAUCCUUAAUUGAUAGAAGAGCUCUUAUGAAGCUGGGAAGCACAACCUGCAUUUACCAAAAAUUUAAGCAACAUGGGUGAGUCCUUUAGCUGUAGUACAACUUCUCUAAACUGGAUGUAUAAAGCAACACUGAAGUGUAUAAGUACAACUGCCUACGACAACAGUGCAUCAAUUUUCAUUUCAAAAUCAUAUCUGAUAUUAACUAAUUUAGCUAAUUUGCUUGCAAACUGUUACUAACCAUAGUCAUCCUAUUAGAGUGUAUUCACUAGCUGAGGUAGUUUAAGCAUAAACUAUAUGCUUGCAGAAAAUGUUCUUUAAAUGUUUUCUUCAAGCACUCUUUGUUGAAGGAUUGGAUAUUGUUUGAGAAUGUUCAGAACUGGAUAUUUAGUACAAUACAAACUGGAAUUUAUAAAAAGAUACAAAUAAAAAGAGCGGGGGAAUAUACUGUAAAAUAGUUGGAAUCAACAAGGGAGGGCUUAGAAUGUUUUCUAAUCACUCUCUUAGUUUGAAAAACUAACAGAUGAAUUUUAGAGAUGAAUAAGUAAAAAGCAAUAACAAUUUGUAUUCAAGAUUGGAUAUUUAUUUUAGUUUUGCAUUCUUGUCCAUUUGUUUAUUUUCAGUGUAUGAUCUGCAACAUUGUUAAAGCAGCAAUGUUGAAAAUAAUAUUAAUGUAUAAUGACAUGCACUAUUAACAUGUUUAGAUUGUGCAAGACACUAUAACUUGAAUAAAAGUCUCAGAAAUGA